rnacentral:rRNA from 1 species
UACGGAGGAUCCAAGCGUUAUCCGGAUUUAUUGGGUUUAAAGGGUGCGCAGGCGGGAAUAUAAGUCAGUGGUGAAAGUCUGGCAGCUUAACUGUAGAAUUGCCAUUGAUACUGUAUUUCUUGAGUGUAAUUGAGGUAGGCGGAAUGUGUAGUGUAGCGGUGAAAUGCUUAGAUAUUACACAGAACACCGAUUGCGUAGGCAGCUUACUAAGUUAUAACUGACGCUCAUGCACGAAAGCGUGGGGAUCAAACAGG